rnacentral:lncRNA from 1 species
CUAUUUAUAGCUUGGGGCUCUCACAUAUUGCUUCUAAGACUUUCUGGGUAUAAUAACUGUGUAUAACUAUAGUAGUCAGGGUAUGCUUUUAGAAUAUUGAUGUAGUUUUACCUGAAAUAUGUUUUUCAGGCCGUCUAUAUAUUUUGAGAUUUUCCCUCGUUGUAAAAGUUGCAGAAGACGUUCAUUCACACGGACUUUUAGUAAUAAUUGGGC